UGGGGAAUAUUGGGCAAUGGGCGAAAGCCUGACCCAGCAACGCCGCGUGAAGGAAGAAGGCUUUCGGGUUGUAAACUUCUUUUCUCAGGGACGAACAGAUGACGGUACCUGAGGAAUAAGCCACGGCUAACUACGUGCCAGCAGCCGCGGUAAUACGUAGGUGGCGAGCGUUAUCCGGAUUUACUGGGUGUAAAGGGCGCGUAGGCGGGAAAGCAAGUCAGAUGUGAAAUCUAUGGGCUUAACCCAUAAACUGCAUUUGAAACUGUUUUUCUUGAGUGAUGGAGAGGCAAGCGGAAUUCCUAGUGUAGCGGUGAAAUGCGUAGAUAUUAGGAGGAACACCAGUGGCGAAGGCGGCUUGCUGGACAUUAACUGACGCUGAGGCGCGAAAGCGUGGGGAGCAAACAGGAUUAGAUACC
rnacentral:rRNA from 1 species